UGGGGAAUUUUCCGCAAUGGGGGGAACCCUGACGGAGCAACGCCGCGUGGGGGAGGAAGGUCUGUGGAUUGUAAACCCCUUUUCUCUGGGAAGAAGGUCUGACGGUACCAGAGGAAUCAGCAUCGGCUAACUCCGUGCCAGCAGCCGCGGUAAGACGGAGGAGGCAAGCGUUAUCCGGAAUUAUUGGGCGUAAAGCGUCCGCAGGUGGCCUUUCAAGUCUGCUGUUAAAGCCCAGGGCUCAACUCUGGAUCAGCAGUGGAAACUGAAAGGCUAGAGUACGGUAGGGGUAGAGGGAAUUCCCAGUGUAGCGGUGAAAUGCGUAGAUAUUGGGAAGAACACCAGUGGCGAAGGCGCUCUGCUGGGCCGUAACUGACACUCAUGGACGAAAGCUAGGGGAGCGAAAGGGAUUAGAUACCCCCGUAGUCC
rnacentral:rRNA from 1 species